rnacentral:lncRNA from 1 species
GGCACGGACACAGAGGGUGAGUCUAUGAGCAGAUUCCUUUCCCUGCUUGGGGUUGAGAAGCUUGUUUCAGGGUGAGCCUUUUCUGGUUUGUUCUUAGCCUGUCCUGGAGGUGGGUCUGGCUGUGCUGGAGCUGUACCAGCCUCAGUAAGGGCUGUCCUAACCUGGCCUGGGUUGGGGGGCUGCCCUGCUCUGGGAGGUGAGAAACUCCAGCCUGUAUUGUUUUCUGUCAUUCUGAAAGAGUGCCCUGGGAAUGCUAUCUGAGCUUAAAUCCUAAGGCAGAAGGGGGGGUAUUUGGAAAGCAGCCUUGGAGCAUGUUUGGAGUCAUCUCUGCUGCUUCCUUAUUUAAACUGGCAAAGAUUUUGCAAGGAAGAUGUCUGCUUUCAUUCAAUGGAGAGCAGUGUAUCUCAGGAAACACCAAAGGAGGUGGAACUUCCCCACGUGUGGUGUGAGCAGUGCAAGGGGUCGGUGUUGGGAGGCAAUGCAGACAACUGGAUUCAGAAUUCCAUGCAACAGGUAUGUGUGUGGCACCAUCCUGAGCUGGGGCAGCUUCUUCAUUUACAACAGCAUCAGCAGUUUGCUGUGUGUGGUGCCAAGCUGGUGCUGUUCACGGCUCUGUGUUACACAGAGGUGGAGAGUUACCACACCAACAGCAGCACAUGGCCUCCCAGGGGGCUCCUGUUUGGCAGGGCUGGGCUGAGCCCUGGGUCUGAGCCCACAGGGAGAAGUGCUCCCUGGAUCCCUCAGUGCUUGUUCAGCCUUCUCGUGCUGCAACCGAGACUGGAAGAGCCUGGCUCUUGGUCUCUGAUGCCAGACAAGGAUAACUUCUGGGUGAUGAGCUGGUUCUGAUUGCCCAGUUCUGAUUGCAUCUCUCUGCCAGGUCCCAGCUGAGGUUGCUGGUGGGGGUGAUGGCAGCUCACCGGCAGCUCUUCCCUACUCCAGGCCUGCUGCUCUGUGUCUUGGCUCUGCACUUCUGCACCCAGGGCCCUCUUGCCAUAGCAGGGCGCAAAGUGGUCAACAUGUCCAUAGUCACCACCCAUGCCUCGGUGGCUGCCACCAGUGCCUCAAUGUCCACAACCAACCAGGCAUCCAUGGCCACCAACCAGACCUCAGUGGCCACCAAUCAGACCUCAGUGACCACCUACGACCAGGCAUUGGUGGCCACCAACCAGACCUCAGUGGCCACCUCCAACCAGGCAUCAGUAGC